GGGUUCCGCCGCGGGGCUGCGAGCGCGCGCGGGCCAGUUCGGGCCGGGGGCGGGAACCGGCUCGGAUGCUCAGGGACGGUGGGGGUGGCAGGGCCCACCGGCUUGAGGCUGCCUUUCCCGGCGUUCCCUCGUUUAUUGGCUCACUCUUCCUUUCAUCCAUCCAUCCUUUGCGCAACAAUAUUUGAUGGGAAGCCUGCCAAGAUUUCACCUGAUUCUUGGCCACAAAGUUUCAAGGGAACCAGAGCUAAUGAAGACAGCAUGGAAGGGCACCGCCGAGACCUACCUGUGGGAGUCCACCUCACCCUCAAGAACAGCUACCAUUUUAACACAGAUGGAUAAACCCCAUGAAAGUGAACUUCCUAAAUGCAAAUUCUGAUCUUGAAGCCCCAGCUGGCACAUCUACUGGAGACCCUCCCAAGCAACAAGAUGUAGAUGCUUUAGAGAUAACAAACUAUACAAGUUGUCUUCCAUUCUUUCUCCUUCCUCUAUUUUCAACACGGAUAAAAUACAUAUAUAUUUAUCUUGCUGAGCUCAGUAGGAUUAUUUAGCUUUAUUUCCAUGGCUGCCUUUUCUUAAUGUAAUAGAAUUUCCAAUCGAGCUUAUUACUUCCUUCCGUCACAAGCCUGAGGUCCUUUCACACCCAUCCUGUCCUUGGCAAAGAUCUUUGGAAAGUAGCCUGGGACAUACCUAGUGGUAAGCCACCUGCUCUGGGUUGAGGGUGGAUCUAUUCUAGUCAGAGGCUUUGUGAUCUGGACAAAGGAAUUGAGUAUGUGGCUGUCAAACUGUCAGGCAAUACUAAAUUUGGCUGGCCAGCUGAAUUCUAGCAGAAAAUCAUGCAAAAUAAGGUUUAGCAAUUGGGGAAAAAUGGCCCACAGGAAAAACAAAGGGAUGAAAUUCCGUAGGACUACACGGCCAUAGAAUUCUAACUUGAGGGCUGCAACCAGCUAUGUGACCUUGUAGUACAAGGACCAGUCUUCAGAUACAAAAUAGAGUUUGGAGUUAAAGGGAUCUUUGAGAAGAAGCCAUUAUCCACCCCCUCCUCCCAAUUUUAUAUGCCCUAAGAAAAAGGUUUCUUUCAACUUAGAAAGGUAUGAUUCUUGAAGUGCACUUCCUCCGAGUUUUCCUGAGCCUCUCAAUCAAAAUGACUUGCACCUGCCCAUCCAUUCCCAUUGGCUUAUGCUCCUACCCUGCAGUAUUGGCUUCAUUAUGCCUCACCUUGUACACCUGUCUGAUUCCUCUCCUAGAUUAUCAGCACCUUGACAAUGGGCUCGUAUCUUGUGUAUCCCUGAAUUUCCAGGGACAAUGAUAGUGCCUGCCACAUAAUUGAUGGUCAAUAAAUUUUGGUUAAAUAGUAACAAGAAACUCCCAUUUAAAAAAUGUGUUAUCGUUAUCAUUCUCAAUCUGGAUGCUCUCCUCUAUACACAGUUUUAUUCAGUAACUCUCUUAAAAUUGUAAAGGUGAGAAAUUGAACACAGUUUCCCAGGUCUUUGAGCAGCACGAGAUACAGGGAGAAAAAAAAUGCUUUGUGCUUGAAUACUUUACUUCUGAUUGGAGAAAAUAAACACUGCACUGGAUUAUUUUUAAAGAUACAUCACAUUACGUUUGUGAUCAACUGAAAUGCUAAGAUAUUUGCAUGUGGAUUUCUGCCAAGCUGCUUUUCUCCCAUUCUUCAUGUGUGUGAUUGAUCUUGAAAUCAAAUGGUGGGACUUUAUAUAUUUUUUUGUUUUAACUCAAGGUAAAGUCUGACAAAAAUCACGUUAAAUUUGAUGCUGUCAGUGAAGACAUUAGCAAUCCUUCCUGGCUUAAGGUCACUGGCAAAUUUGAUAUACUUAUCUUUUGUGGGGUUUUUUUGUUGGUUUUUUUAAGACAGGGUCCCACUCUGUCACCCAAGUUAGAGUACAGUGGCUUGAAAAUGGCUCACUGAAGCCUCGACCUCCCAGGCUUAAGCAAUCCUCCCACCUCAGCCUCCUGAGUAGCUGGGACUACAGGCAUGCACCACAAUGUCUGGCUGAAUUUUUUUUUUUUUUUUUUUUUUUUGUAGAGAUGUGGUCUUCCUAUGGUUCCCAGGCUGGUCUUGAACUCCUGGGCUCAACCAAUCCUCCCACCUUGGCCUCCCAAAGUGCUGAGAUUAUAGGCAUAAGCCACAACAUGCAGCCGUCUUUUCCGUUUUUAUCCCACUCUUUGACAAUGUUGGAAGGAUUAGGACUAGCUCUAAUAAGAGUCACCCCCUUCAUAUUGGGUAAUCAACCAACAGCUAGAAAUGUACACUGAAAUACUACCAGACAUCCCUUAUUUUACCAUCUUAUCCACAAAGAUCUUACAGAUGACAUUUUAAAAACAUUGUCUAAAGCACAGAAAUACUUUUAAGCACAGUAGCCCCUGAAGCUUGCCAGCCAAAUAAUCUAUUAAAACUUAAAUGAAACAAGGCAAGUAUGGUGCAUGCGUAUGGUGGCUGUGGUACUGGUGGCAUGCUUUUUUAAAUUCUACAGUCUCCUCCAACCACCCUCUGCUUUUUAAGUAAGUCUAAUUUAGCAUAUGCCUUGGCAUUCAUAUUAGGCUGACUUUCCACGACUGGCAUCCC
rnacentral:lncRNA from 1 species